UACUAGCUGAGUUUAAGCAUAUCAUUAAYCGGAGGAAAAGAAACUAAYAAGGAUUCCCCUAGUAACGGCGAGC
rnacentral:rRNA from 1 species